UGCCUGUUCGAGCGUCAUUACACCCCUCAAACUUCACUGUUUGUUGUUGGGCGCUGCCUAGGGGCACGCCUAAAAGUCAGCGACGGUUCAAACCAACCUCAGACGUACAAGUAUCGUUAUAGGGCGCGGUGGGGACCUGUCUUUAACUAAACUAUCUAAAUGUUGACCUCGGAUCAGGUAGGAAUACCCGCUGAACUUAA
rnacentral:misc_RNA from 1 species